AAGCAACACUCUGUGUCAGAUGAUCGAAGUUGUCUGAUGCAAUUUGAGCUUGCUAUAGCAAGAAAGUCUAACCUAUUCCAGUGGUCUCUUCCAUGAGACCGACUGUUAUAUAGACUUAAACAGC
rfam:Felis catus isolate Cinnamon breed Abyssinian chromosome B3, whole genome shotgun sequence.